AGAAAAGCGUUGACCGGGAAAAGUAAGGUUCAACCGCUCUUUUUCAGAGAGCGCGGGCAGGUGGAAGCCGCGCAGAGAGCCGAACCCGAACGAACCCCCGUGAGCUUCCCCCUGAACCCGCGCAAGGCGUACAGUAGGGGCAGACGUCCGCCGCUCGUUAUCGCGGCAGUGCUUUCAACGGGGAGAGCGCACAAAAGUGACUGGUAUGCCCUGCGUACCGGUAAUUUAGGUGGCACCACGGAUACGGCAGCAUUCGUCCUAGCA
rnacentral:ncRNA from 1 species